rnacentral:rRNA from 1 species
ACCUGGCGGCGUGCUUACCAUGCNAGUCGAACGAUGAUCCCAGCUUGCUGGGGGAUUAGUGGCGAACGGGUGAGUAACACGUGAGUAACCUGCCCUUAACUCUGGGAUAAGCCUGGGAAACUGGGUCUAAUACCGGAUAUGACUCCUCAUCGCAUGGUGGGGGGUGGAAAGCUUUAUUGUGGUUUUGGAUGGACUCGCGGCCUAUCAGCUUGUUGGUGAGGUAAUGGCUCACCAAGGCGACGACGGGUAGCCGGCCUGAGAGGGUGACCGGCCACACUGGGACUGAGACACGGCCCAGACUCCUACGGGAGGCAGCAGUGGGGAAUAUUGCACAAUGGGCGCAAGCCUGAUGCAGCGACGCCGCGUGAGGGAUGACGGCCUUCGGGUUGUAAACCUCUCUCAGUAGGGAAGAAGCGAAAGUGACGGUACCUGCAGAAGAAGCGCCGGCUAACUACGUGCCAGCAGCCGCGGUAAU